UACGUAGGGUGCGAGCGUUAAUCGGAAUUACUGGGCGUAAAGUGUGCGCAGGCGGCCGAGCAAGUCGAGUGUGAAAGCCCCGGGCUUAACUUGGGAAUUGCGCUCGAAACUACUUGGCUGGAGUGUGGCAGAGGAAGGUGGAAUUCCAGGUGUAGCGGUGAAAUGCGCAGAUAUCUGGAGGAACACCGGUGGCGAAGGCGGCAUCCUGGACCGAUAUUGACGCUGAGGAGCGAAAGCUAGGGGAGCAAACGGG
rnacentral:rRNA from 1 species